AAAAAAGACAAACCUGAGUUUCCGUGUCCAACUUUGACUGUCCGUCUUACAUGAAAUUUUUUUAUAAUUCAUAUUUUUAUUGUUGUUAGAUGAUAAAACAUGAUUAAUAUUUUAUGCGUGACUUGUCUUUUUAAUUUUUUUUAUAAUUUUUUUAAAUAAGAUGGACGGUCAAACGUUGGACACGGAAACCAGGGUUUGUCUUUUU
rnacentral:pre_miRNA from 1 species